rnacentral:sRNA from 1 species
UACCGACGCACAUUAAAAGCGUCGCGGUCUGAAAGCCGGCUCGUCCCCCGCCGCUUCAGGCUUCCAGAACAAAGGCCUUAUCCCCCCUCUCCGGGCCUUUGUUCUUAUUUUUGAAAGAGUCGCUACAGUAUCCCCCCAUGCUGUGGCGACUUUUU